rnacentral:rRNA from 1 species
GCUAAGGUAGCGCAAUCACUUGCCCUUUAAUUGUGGGCUAGUAUGAAUGGCUAGACAAGAGCUUGGCUGUCUCAAAGGGGCUUAUGAAAAUUAACCUUUAGGUGCAGAGGCCUAAAUUUUAGUGAAAGACAAGAAGACCCUAUCGAGCUUUAAUUUUUUCUAUUAUUAUAANUAGUAUAAAUUUUUAUUGGGGCAAUAAAGGAGCAAUUUAAGCCUCCUUAAAUCUAAAGUUAAACUAAUUUAUAAAAGAAACAUUUAUAAUGCUCUUAGGAAAAAGCUACCGUAGGGAUAACAGACUAAUUUCCCUCAAGAGUCCACAUUGACAGGGAAGUUUGGCACCUCGAUGUUGGCUUAAAAAACAGUUAUGAAGCAGCACUCUAACCC